UACAGAGGUCUCAAGCGUUGUUCGGAUUCAUUGGGCGUAAAGGGUGCGUAGGCGGCGCGGUAAGUCGGGUGUGAAAUCUCGGGGCUUAACUCCGAAACUGCAUUCGAUACUGCCGUGCUUGAGGACUGGAGAGGAGACUGGAAUUUACGGUGUAGCGGUGAAAUGCGUAGAUAUCGGAAGGAACGCCGGUGGCGAAAGCCGACGUGCUGGACCCCCCCUGACGGCUGAGGCGCCGAAAGCCAGGGGAGCGAACGGG
rnacentral:rRNA from 1 species